rnacentral:rRNA from 1 species
CAGUAGCCGCGGGAAUACGGAGGGGGCUAGCGUUGUUCGGAAUUACUGGGCGUAAAGCGCACGUAGGCGGCUUGGUAAGUUAGAGGUGAAAGCCUGGAGCUCAACUCCAGAAUUGCCUUUAAGACUGCCGAGCUAGCAGGUGAGAGAGGUAAGUGGAAUUCCGAGUGUAGAGGUGAAAUUCGUAGAUAUUGGGAAGAACACCGGUGGCGAAGGCGGCAACCUGGUCCUUGACUGACGCUGAGGCGCGAAAGCGUGGGGAGCAAACAGGAUUAGAUACCCCUGUAGUCCCUGUCUCUUAUAC